rnacentral:tRNA from 2 species
GCCUCUUUAGCUCAGUGGCAGAGCACUGGUCUUGUAAACCAGGGGUCGUGAGUUCAAUCCUCAUAGGAGGCA